rnacentral:rRNA from 1 species
GAUGAACGCUGGCGGCGUGCCUAAUACAUGCAAGUCGAGCGAACAGACGAGGAGCUUGCUCCUCUGACGUUAGCGGCGGACGGGUGAGUAACACGUGGAUAACCUACCUAUAAGACUGGGAUAACUUCGGGAAACCGGAGCUAAUACCGGAUAAUAUAUUGAACCGCAUGGUUCAAUAGUGAAAGACGGUUUUGCUGUCACUUAUAGAUGGAUCCGCGACGCAUUAGCUAGUUGGUAAGGUAACGGCUUAGCAAGGCAACGAUGCGUAGCCGACCUGAGAGGGUGAUCGGCCACACUGGAACUGAGACACGGUCCAGACUCCUACGGGAGGCAGCAGUAGGGAAUCUUCCGCAAUGGGCGAAAGCCUGACGGAGCAACGCCGCGUGAGUGAUGAAGGUCUUCGGAUCGUAAAACUCUGUUAUUAGGGAAGAACAAAUGUGUAAGUAACUAUGCACGUCUUGACGGUACCUAAUCAGAAAGCCACGGCUAACUACGUG